rnacentral:tRNA from 1 species
UUCCUAGUGGCUCAGUGCUAAAGCGUCUGCCUGCAACGCAGGAGAUGCAGGUUCCAUGCCUAGGUUG